GCCAGUGUGAUGUAGUGGUUUGAAAGCUGGACUACAACUCUGGAGACCAUGGUUCAAAUCUCUGCUCAAGCA